AGCAACCUGCCAGCUGACUGCAAGUAAAGGAAACUGUUGCUAGAAGUAUUUCAUGGUUUGAACAGGAGAAGCUGCCAACAACACAAUCUAACAAUAAACCGUCCAAAAGGGGGGAAAGCCUCCCGCUGGAAAGCAGCUGCACACUGACUGGACAAAACAUUAGGAAAGUUGCUUAUCAGAGACACCGUCUGGCCUGGGACUCUAAUAUGCAACCUUUAAACUGCGGACCGAUCCAUCCAGCUGGAGUCAGGACCCCGGAUCAGAGCUGUCUACUAUCUGCACGAUAACUACUUGUGUCUGUUUAUCAUCAGGGUGCAUGUCUUUGGAGGUGGGAGGAAGCCGGAGUACCCAGAGGGAACCCACGCAGUCACGGGGAGAACACGCAAACUCCACACAGAAAGAUUCCGAGCGCAGGAUCGAACCCAGGACCUUCGUAUUGUGAGUCAGACGCACUAACCCCACUAUCACCGUCCCCAGUUCAUAAGUUCAUAUUGUACACAUAAUGUGAUUAAAAAGGUAUUUCCUUGGGUUAAUUCAUGCAAGUUUAUGUUAACUUUAUUUUUGUUACAAAACCCAUGUAAACUGGAGGGGAAUAUAUUUUUUGUUCCAGUUUGGUCACAUUGUUGGGGGGACAAUUAAUAUGUGACGGAAUUCAGCAAGCUGCAUGAGACAACAAGUGUUUGAUGGAAGACGGUAAUGGAGUCUCGGAUUGAAAAUAAACUUUAUUCCCUUGGAGUUUGUGAGGCCAAUGAUAAUCUAUGUGAAAUAUAUGGGUUUUCUUUUAUUGGAUGUCAGACUAAUUGUAAGUUCUGUUUUCUUAUUUUUUUAGUUCUGACGGCAUUAUAUUUGGCAUUGUUGUUAACGAGAAGAAGGCGCGGCUGAAAUAAAUGUCUGUGAGAAA